AAUCAACGCUGGCGGCGUGCCUCAGACAUGCAAGUCGAACGCGAAAGGUCCUUCGGGAGCCGAGUAGAGUGGCGCUCGGGUGAGUAACACGUAGGUAAUUUGCCUUUGGGUGGGGAAUAACAAUCGGAAACGGUUGCUAAUACCGCAUAAUGCAGCGGCUCGACAUCGAGACAGUUGUUAAAGCGGGGGAUCCUUCGGGACCUCGCGCCUAAAGAGAAGCCUGCGGCGGAUUAGCAGUGUGAGUAAUGGCUCACCAAGGCGACGAUCCGUAACCGGCCUGAGAGGGCGGACGGUCACACUGACACUUAAA
rnacentral:rRNA from 1 species